rnacentral:rRNA from 1 species
AUUGAACGCUGGCGGCAGGCCUAACACAUGCAAGUCGAGCGGUAGAGAGAAGCUUGCUUCUCUUGAGAGCGGCGGACGGGUGAGUAAUGCCUAGGAAUCUGCCUGGUAGUGGGGGAUAACGUUCGGAAACGGGCGCUAAUACCGCAUACGUCCUACGGGAGAAAGCAGGGGACCUUCGGGCCUUGCGCUAUCAGAUGAGCCUAGGUCGGAUUAGCUAGUUGGUGGGGUAAUGGCUCACCAAGGCGACGAUCCGUAACUGGUCUGAGAGGAUGAACAGUCAAACUGGAACGGAGACCCGGUCCAGACUCCUACGGCAGGCAGCAGUGGGGAAUAUUGGAUAAUGGGCGAAAGCCUGAUCCAGCCAUGCCGCGUGUGUGAAGAAGGUUUUCGGAUUGUAAAGCACUUUAAGUUGGGAGGAAGGGCAGUAAAUUAAUACUUUGCUGUUUUGACGUUACCGACAGAAUAAGCACCGGCUAACUCUGUGCCAGCCGCCGCCGUAA